ACAAUGGAGAGUUUGAUCCUGGCUCAGGAUGAACGCUAGCUACAGGCUUAACACAUGCAAGUCGAGGGGAAACGGCAUUGAGUGCUUGCACUCUUUGGACGUCGACCGGCGCACGGGUGAGUAACGCGUAUCCAACCUUCCCAUUACUGUGGGAUAACCUGCCGAAAGGCAGACUAAUACCGCAUAGUCUUCGAUGACGGCAUCAGAUUUGAAGUAAAGAUUUAUCGGUAAUGGAUGGGGAUGCGUCUGAUUAGCUUGUUGGCGGGGUAACGGCCCACCAAGGCAACGAUCAGUAGGGGUUCUGAGAGGAAGGUCCCCCACAUUGGAACUGAGACACGGUCCAAACUCCUACGG
rnacentral:rRNA from 1 species